GACCGAAUGGCGUAGUGGUUAGUGACCCUGACUAAUGAGCCGAAGGUCCCGGGUUCGAUUCCCGGCUGGGGCA
rnacentral:tRNA from 1 species